rnacentral:rRNA from 2 species
ACUUUCAACAACGGAUCUCUUGGUUCUGGCAUCGAUGAAGAACGCAGCGAAAUGCGAUAAGUAAUGUGAAUUGCAGAAUUCAGUGAAUCAUCGAAUCUUUGAACGCACAUUGCGCCCCUUGGUAUUCCGGGGGGCAUGCCUGUUCGAGCGUCAUUUCA